rnacentral:rRNA from 1 species
GAAUGCCGGUGUGAGUAGCGAAAGACGGGUGAGAAUCCCGUCCACCGAUUGACUAAGGUUUCCAGAGGAAGGCUCGUCCGCUCUGGGUUAGUCGGGUCCUAAGCUGAGGCCGACAGGCGUAGGCGAUGGAUAACAGGUUGAUAUUCCUGUACCACCUAUAAUCGUUUUAAUCGAUGGGGGGACGCAGUAGGAUAGGCGAAGCGUGCGAUUGGAUUGCACGUCUAAGCAGUAAGGCUGAGUAUUAGGCAAAUCCGGUACUCGUUAAGGCUGAGCUGUGAUGGGGAGAAGACAUUGUGUCUUCGAGUCGUUGAUUUCACACUGCCGAGAAAAGCCUCUAGAUAGAAAAUAGGUGCCCGUACCGCAAACCGACACAGGUAGUCAAGAUGAGAAUUCUAAGGUGAGCGAGCGAACUCUCGUUAAGGAACUCGGCAAAAUGACCCCGUAACUUCGGGAGAAGGGGUGCUCUUUAGGGUUAACGCCCAGAAGAGCCGCAGUGAAUAGGCCCAAGCGACUGUUUAUCAAAAACACAGGUCUCUGCUAAACCGUAAGGUGAUGUAUAGGGGCUGACGCCUGCCCGGUGCUGGAAGGUUAAGAGGAGUGGUUAGCUUCUGCGAAGCUACGAAUCGAAGCCCCAGUAAACGGCGGCCGUAACUAUAACGGUCCUAAGGUAGCGAAAUUCCUUGUCGGGUAAGUUCCGACCCGCACGAAAGGCGUAACGAUUUGGGCACUGUCUCAACGAGAGACUCGGUGAAAUCAUAGUACCUGUGAAGAUGCAGGUUACCCGCGACAGGACGGAAAGACCCCGUGGAGCUUUACUGUAGCCUGAUAUUGAAAUUCGGCACAGCUUGUACAGGAUAGGUAGGAGCCUUUGAAACGUGAGCGCUAGCUUACGUGGAGGCGCUGGUGGG